rnacentral:misc_RNA from 1 species
AACCAUAGAAACCUGCGGAGUACCUGCGGAAGGAUCAUUACCGAGUGCGGGUCCUCGUGGCCCAACCUCCCACCCGUGACUAUUGUACCUUGUCGCUUCGGCGGGCCCGCCAGCCCUGCUGGCCGCCGGGGGGCGUCUCGCCCCCGGGCCCGUGCCCGCCGGAGACCCCAACAUGAACCCUGUUCUGAAAGCUUGCAGUCUGAGUGUGAUUCUUUGCAAUCAGUUAAAACUUUCAACAAC